rnacentral:rRNA from 1 species
GUGCCAGCCGCCGCGGUAAUACGGAGGGUGCAAGCGUUGUCCGGAAUCACUGGGCGUAAAGGGUGUGCAGGCGGGGCAGCAAGUCGGAUGUGAAACCCUAUGGCUUAACCAUGGAGGUGCAUUCGAAACUGUUGCUCUUGGGUCCCGGAGAGGCUGUCGGAAUUCGUGGUGUAGCGGUGAAAUGCGUAGAUAUCACGAGGAACACCAGAGGCGAAAGCGGGCAACUGGACGGGUACUGACACUGAGGCACGAAAGCGUGGGGAGCAAACAGGAUUAGAAACCCGGGUAGUCC